AUCCUCAAGUUGAUAAGCAUAAUAAUUGGGUGUUCAUGCUCCAUGCAUGACACGUGCCUCCUUUGAACCUUGUUAUGACAUCGGCACAUUACCCAUCUGACU
rfam:Cavia porcellus supercont2_9 genomic scaffold, whole genome shotgun sequence.